AGUGAACGCUGGCGGUAGGCCUAACACAUGCAAGUCGAACGGCAGCACAGUAAGAGCUUGCUCUUACGGGUGGCGAGUGGCGGACGGGUGAGGAAUACAUCGGAUUCUACUUUUUCGUGGGUGAUAACGUAGGGAAACUUCCGCUAAUACCGCAUACGACCUACGGGUGAAAGCAGGGGAUCUUCGGACCUUGCGCGAUAGAAUGAGCCGAUGUCGGAUUAGCUAGUUGGCGGGGUAAAGGCCCACCAAGGCGACGAUCCGUAGCUGGUCUGAGAGGAUGAUCAGCCACACUGGAACUGAGACACGGUCCAGACUCCUACGGGAGGCAGCAGUGGGGAAUAUUGGACAAUGGGCGCAAGCCUGAUCCAGCCAUACCGCGUGGGUGAAGAAGGCCUUCGGGUUGUAAAGCCCUGUUGUUGGGAAAGAAAAGCAGCAGGUUAAUACCCCGCUGUUCUGACGGUACCCAAAGAAUAAGCACCGGCUAACUUCGUG
rnacentral:rRNA from 1 species